rnacentral:rRNA from 1 species
UUAAAUAGGGACCUGUGUGCGGUAUCCUGACCGUGCUAAGGUAGCAUAAUAAUUUGCUCUUUUAUUGGGGGCUUGUAUGAAAGGAUAAAUGGGAUGAAAGCUGUCUUUUUUGUUUGUAUAAAAAUUGAUUUCUAGGUGCAGAGGCCUGGAUUUAGAUGGAGGACAAGAAGACCCUAUUGAGCUUUAUUCAGUGAGAUUUUUUUUGUGGAAGUUGGGUUUGGUUGGGGCGAUAGAGGAAUAUUCAGAACUUCCUUUUUAGGUUUGGCUGUCUUGCCUUUUGGUUAGCCAAUUUUAAAAUUGAUUAAAGAAAUAAGCUACCAUAGGGAUAACAGGCUAAUUUUCUUUGAGAGUCCAUAUUGACAAGAAAGUUUGGCACCUCGAUGUUGGCUUAGGGCGUCCUAAAUAGUGCAGAAGCUAUAAAUGGUGGGUUUGUUCAACCCUUUAAGCCCUACGUGAUCUGAGUUCAGACCGGAAGGUUCGUUUGUUCAACGAUUAAAGUCCGUACGUGAUCUGAGUUCAGACCGG